CUGCAGUCGAGGGGUAUAGGUUUUCGGACCUAGAGACCGGCGCACGGGUGCGUAACGCGUAUGCAAUCUACCUUUUACAGAGGGAUAGCCCAGAGAAAUUUGGAUUAAUACCUCAUAGUAUUAUUGAAUGGCAUCAUUUAAUAAUUAAAGUCACAACGGUAAAAGAUGAGCAUGCGUCCCAUUAGCUAGUUGGUAAGGUAACGGCUUACCAAGGCAACGAUGGGUAGGGGUCCUGAGAGGGAGAUCCCCCACACUGGUACUGAGACACGGACCAGACUCCUACGGGAGGCAGCAGUGAGGAAUAUUGGUCAAUGGGCGCAAGCCUGAACCAGCCAUGCCGCGUGCAGGAUGAUGGUCCUAUGGAUUGUAAACUGCUUUUGUACAGGAAGAAACAGUUCUACGUGUAGAACCUUGACGGUACUGUAAGAAUAAGGAUCGGCUAACUCCGUGCCAGCAGCCGCGGUAAUACGGAGGAUCCAAGCGUUAUCCGGAAUCAUUGGGUUUAAAGGGUCCGUAGGCGGUUUUGUAAGUCAAUGGUGAAAGCCCAUCGCUCGACGGUGGAACGGCCAUUGAUACUGCAAGACUUGAAUUAUUGGGAAGUAACUAGAAUAUGUAGUGUAGCGGUGAAAUGCUUAGAGAUUACAUGGAAUACCAAUUGCGAAGGCAGGUUGCUACCAAUAUAUUGACGCUGAUGGACGAAAGCGUGGGGAGCGAACAGGAUUAGAUACCCUGGUAGUCCACGCCGUANACGAUGGAUACUAGCUGUUCGGAGCAAUCUGAGUGGCUAAGCGAAAGUGAUAAGUAUCCCACCUGGGGAGUACGUUCGCAAGAAUGAAACUCAAAGGAAUUGACGGGGGCCCGCAC
rnacentral:rRNA from 1 species